UGUCAGCGGCAGACGGGUGAGUAACGCGUGGGAACGUACCUCUUGGUUCGUAACAACACAGGGAAACUUGUGCUAAUACCGGAUAAGCCCUUACGGGGAAAGAUUUAUCGCCGAAAGAUCGGCCCGCGUCUGAUUAGCUAGUUGGUGAGGUAACGGCUCACUAAGGCGACGAUCAGUAGCUGGUCUGAGAGGAUGAUCAGCCACAUUGGGACUGAGACACGGCCCAAACUCCUACGGGAGGCAGCAGUGGUGAAUAUUGGACAAUGGGCGCAACCCUGAUCCAGCCAUGCCGCGUGAGUGAUGAAGGCCCUAGGGUUGUAAAGCUCUUUUGUGCGGGAAGAUAAUGACGGUACCGCAAGAAUAAGCCCCGGCUAACUUCGUGCCAGCAGCCGCGGUAAUACGAAGGGGGCUAGCGUUGCUCGGAAUCACUGGGCGUAAAGGGUGCGUAGGCGGGUCUUUAAGUCAGGGGUGAAAUCCUGGAGCUCAACUCCAGAACUGCCUUUGAUACUGAAGAUCUUGAGUUCGGGAGAGGUGAGUGGAACUGCGAGUGUAGAGGUGAAAUUCGUAGAUAUUCGCAAGAACACCAGUGGCGAAGGC
rnacentral:rRNA from 1 species